UACGAAGGGGGCUAGCGUUGUUCGGAUUUACUGGGCGUAAAGGGCGUGUAGGCGGCCAACUAAGUCCGACGUGAAAUCCCCAGGCUUAACCUGGGAACUGCGUCGGAUACUGGAUGGCUUGAAUCCGGGAGAGGGAUGCGGAAUUCCAGGUGUAGCGGUGAAAUGCGUAGAUAUCUGGAGGAACACCGGUGGCGAAGGCGGCAUCCUGGACCGGCAUUGACGCUAAAGCGCGAAAGCCAGGGGAGCAAACGGG
rnacentral:rRNA from 1 species